rnacentral:lncRNA from 1 species
GAUUCCAUAGCGUCCUGAGUCUUGGCUGAAUAUCGUCUGCAGGGAGCCACCAACACCACCCUGGAGCAGGUUGGCACACUCUGUUUCCAACGAGACCUGACAGGCCCUUCUCCCCGCAGAGUCAGUCACUCCGAGGUAAGCAGCUCUCUCCUUAAAGUUCCAGGUCUGGAAAGAGUCUCAGGCACCUGAGUCCCCGAGCCUUCAGCUUCUAACCUGAAGCUCCUUUCCUUCCUCCAUAUGCCAUGGAGGAAAAGCUCCUGGCUGGCAGAGCAGUCCCUAGCCACUUGAACUGCCAUCCUGGGAUGAUAUGGAAGACAGAGACGGCCUUAGAGAAAUCUCUGAUUGCGGUUCCAGCACUAAAAGCACUAGGGCAGGAUGGAACGCAGACUUCCGGCUCCCUCGGAUCGGAAUCUCCAGACAGCCAUGCACUGGGAAUGGGUGAGGGCCUCGGGUCUUGCUCUCGAGGGCAAUCAGAUGAGAGCGGGGAGGAGAGAGGCAAAGCUCCCCUAAGAAUUCGCCUAUCAAGACCUUCAGGAUGGACUUGCUCUAACUCCCCUUGUUCUGUUUGACUUGGAGCUUGAUUUACUGGUAGGAGCAUUUUGGCCAAAUCCGUUGUUUGCAUCUAUUGACCACGAAAAUCUCGUUAGACCCCGUGUUUUCCUGCAGCCUGCCCCUGCAUUGACAUUGUUUUAUUGCUUGAGUGGUUCAGAGAAUGGAUUAUACAG